UACGAAGGGGGCUAGCGUUGCUCGGAAUCACUGGGCGUAAAGCGCACGUAGGCGGCUUCUUAAGUCAGGGGUGAAAUCCCGGGGCUCAACCCCGGAACUGCCUUUGAUACUGGCAUUCUCGAGUCCGGAAGAGGUGAGUGGAAUUCCGAGUGUAGAGGUGAAAUUCGUAGAUAUUCGGAGGAACACCAGUGGCGAAGGCGGCUCACUGGUCCGGUACUGACGCUGAGGUGCGAAAGCGUGGGGAGCAAACAGG
rnacentral:rRNA from 1 species